UAUGAGCAUGGCAAGCUCCAGGAAGGUGAAUGCCAUUUAAGAAGCCGUUGCUGGGUUAAACUAACUGCAAAACUGUUAAAUUAUUUUUGUUUCCAUUUUAUUGCUUAACCUCCAGGGUAAACUUCAGGCUACCUGAUAAAGCAGCCACUCAGGAACUUUAAACUUUACAUGCCUCGCCCCAGAGGGCCGAAGCCGACUCCUGUAUUAAAGGUGUGGAGAAAGGCACAUCCUGGGGAUACCAGUCUCCUAGGUUGGUACUCUCUAUCGAGAAAAAAAAAUGACAUCGUCAAGAAUGAAGACGUAACGUAUUCAUCAGAGCCUGCCUUCCCUUUAUUUUGUAGUUCCCUGAAAGCUAUCUGCCAUCCUAAGCCUGCGUCCAUCUUCCCUGCACAAGUGAUAUCUUGAUUGACACCUCUCCAAAUAAGCUUGUGAAUAGCUUUCCGUAUCAGCCUCAGAAUAAUUCAGAUGUCAAAUUACAGCUCGCAGACUCCCUGACUCCUCUAGAGCCCCAGAAUGCAUUUUUAAAAUAUUUGGGAGAAAAUAUUAAAUUUUGUUCAGGUUGGGUCAAAGUUCAUAUCAUUUGGUAAUAAAGAGCCACGGAGGGUGUUUGCCCAGGAAGGGGUGGGGGGCUGCGUUGAUUUUAUUUUGUGCGACAGCUGCAGGUCAGGCUGACCCUUGUGAGUGGUUUGGAGUUUACGAGCCUGCAGCUUUCGGCAUCUUUGCCGUUUGCUGCGGGUUUCCUUUGGACAGAAAAGGGACCGAGGAAAGAAAGAAGGGGAAAAAAAGCGACGCAUUUUCUGUGCAGGAGUCCUGGCUCAUGUCACCUCUAAAUAUGCAGCUUUAAUUGCUCCUCUCGGCAGCAGCAAGGGAAGAGGUGAUCAUAGUUCCGUGUUUUCAUCACUGUUGAAACCGCACUGCCGACUCAGCCCAGAUUCCCGUCCUGCAAACCGCACAGAAGCGUUUCUCACAAGCGAGAAGGCAAAGCAGUGCCUGCCGGGCUGAUAAUGACCACUUUUCAUAAUAUUUGUUGGAUGCUCUGUAACGUGUGGCUGAGAAAACUCUUGUUAUUACUGGCUGUUUGCGCAGCUGUAAAUAUUUAACCAAGAAUGCUACCUGCUUUGUGGAAAGACUCGCUAAUUACACCUGCUCCUCUCUAUAAUUACAUAUUGUUGUGAAAAUUCCAGGAUAAUGACACAACUGUGUCUUCCUCAUGCAAGGGGUAAAUUUAUACCGAGGGCGGCACUUGAAUUUCCAUAAGCAAUUAGCCUACACAUUUUCAUCCCUGUGUUUUCCCUGUGAUUUUAUUGAAAUGAAAGAUAAUGAAUUAAAUCCAAUUACAGCAAGAAGACAGCUAGCAACUAGAUGUUCAUUGUGAACCACAGUUCUACUUCGUAAGCAAAGUGAGGAGAGCUCUUGCUUCAUACGGCAGAGGCAUCCUGAUAAAUUAGAAAUCUCAGUCUGAUAGCACAGACCCUGCUGAACAGCUCUUAUUGGAGUCUGGGUUUCUCUUGACAAAAUGCUUCUCGAAAAGGUGCAUAUUUCUAGGCUGAUGAAUGUGAGGGACUCCUCUUGGCUUGUAGCCUGAUUAUUGGUGGAACAUCUCUAUAAAAAAUGUUUCCCCAGAUGCCAUAAUAAAGCCCAUGGCAGUAAUCCAUAGUUCACAGGGUUUGUUGAAGGGAGCGCGAGAGAGACCUCUGGAAUUCAGGAAAUAGGAGACAGGUAAUAUCCUUAUCUUAUUACUUUCAAACAUGGGCAUUCCUAUUCUUUUGGAAAUCUCGGCUCUCCAGGAGAUGUAGAGAGAAGUAACCUGGAUCCAGGCUACAAAAAAGGCUCACCUGCUCUAAUCAGGAGAGCGUUCAAAGAUGCAGAGCCCCAGUUCCCGAAAAACAAAACGAAGUAAGUGGUGUGACGGUACAGACACUUCCCAAAUCAAUAUGUCUCUACAUCUUUAUUGCUUUCGUUUCCUUUCUGCUCCCUCACCACCUCGUCUCUCCACCUCUCGUCUCCCUCUGUAUAAAUGCAGGCAUCUCCAGAUGUCAGAAGCGGAGAAGUGACCCAUCCUUUAACGGCACAGGGGACAGUGAUGUUCUGAUCUCUGCGUCAUUUCAGACACAAACACAUUUCCCAGGACUACAGCCUCUCCAGAACAGUUUCAAACCUGCUGAUGAAUUCCCUAUUUAUCUAGUGGUCAUGAUUAUUCCUACUAACACUUUGGUAAAUGUGGGAGUGAUGGCAGAAUUACACCAGGCGGGGAGAGGAAGAUCCGUGACAGCCCGGCCGGCCGGGGACCGGGAGCUGACAGGCGGCCCUGCCCAGCCCAGCCAGGGAACCUUCCUCUUCGAUUUCCUCUCAGUGGCUGGGCUGGAGGGUGGCUGCCUAAUGGUUUGCUGUCAAUACAGUAAAAAUGCUAACCCGUCUUUACAUUGAAUCCAGUCUGAGAGGGCUCUUUACCUAAACGGCUUCUGCCUUUUCCUCACUUUCAGAAAAGCCCAUCAAAUAAGAUUGAACCACGCAGGCUGUCAGUACAGUGGUUUUGUGUGUGCGUGUUUUUAAAAAAGCACAAUGACUAAUUUGGAGACACAGCAUUUUGUGUUAAGUUGUCUUUGACUAUUUUCUUCCUUGCUGUUUUUUUUUUAAGGCCUCUAAAAAUCAAUACUAUGCUCCACUACCAUCCAUCUUUAUAUAGUAAUAAAUUAAGUGGGGGGUAUUGAUAUUUUUGGCUGCGCCUUUAAAAUUUACAUACUAAUGACAAUUAUACCCUUGUGGCUGCUGAUUUCUGCUGCUGUUUACUGCUUGUGACUUGGGAAAGAGGUGGUUGAGUUUCGCCUGUUUGGCCUGAUGUUCCUCAGUGUUCCCGCACCUCCAUCCACGGCUCAGAUGGAGGGUGGUCAAAAACCCAGUUCCAACCAAGGAAGGGAGAGCUUAGAAAAGUCUGGCUCGUCUGCUGUCUUUGUUGCUCUCCUGGAGAAGUUCUACAGGAACCCAACCAAGGACAGGCCGAAAGACUUCAGACUGGGUGAUGGAUGUGGUGGAACUGAGCUUGGGUGAUAUCAAAAUAAUUCAAUAACGGUGAGCAGUGGCCCCCACCAGUCAGCGCUUGGUGGGGAUGUCCUGAAGGGCCUUCUGCUUGGCCAGAUGUUAACCCUUGAGGUGCCGAAUUAAGGGAAGGGAGGAGGCCCUGGGGUAUGGCCAGGGCAGCAGGCAGCAGAAGGCUUGGAGGGGAAUGGCUAUUUAUCACCCGGUACAAAAUAUCCCCAAAUUUAAUACGAUGCAGAUUGGGUGAAUUUCAGCCCCAAGCAUGAGUCACAAAUUUCAGAAUCUUGGGGAAGUCUCAGAAGUAUUGUGUGCCCUUUCCUUACGAAAAAAAUAGACUAGAAUUUUGAAACCUUAAAUGUGGAGUGCCUGGCCUACCUCGUGCUUCCAAACAAUUUCUGAUAAACUCGGAAUUGGGGCAAAAAUGUAGACAACCGCCCCUGCUCUCCCCUUCUCCCUGUGCACAAAUGCAAACAGCUUCUCCCUCCCUCAGGACGAGUUAGAGGCAGCGUCUCAGCAUUUGGCAAGUGUAUGUUCUGAAGCAGAAAGUCCUAGCAGAGAGGGGAUAAAAGGAGCAAGGUCAGGCCCGCUCUGCGGUUUUAUUCUAUGAAACCAAACCCCUCCCUGGUCAGCUGGCGUGCUACCUCCAUGUAGAUGACCAGGAGAAAUACCAACCCACUGGCACAAAGGUCUCAAGCGCAUUUAACAAUUAUUUUGGGGACCGGGACAGCCUUGAAGUGAACAACGGCUUAUACACAGAGAUUAGUAUGUCAGUAAUACUGAUUGUCGGAGGCCUGCUUCAUUCUAUUUAAGAUUCCACAAGCCACAGACAGCAGUCACUCAGGCGUGAUUUUUCCCUCUAGAAUUUCCAGGAUGUUGAAGAGGCGAAUCCAGGAGACGCCGUAUGGCGAGUUCUGUCCAACUAGACGCUGCAGGCUGAUCCCCAAGGGAAGGUGUGUGGAUUUUGUUUACAUUCUGCCAAGGCCGCAGUCAAUUGUUUGCUUACCCGCCAGUCCUUUUUUUUCACCCCUCUAAGGUGGGUUGCCCCAUGUUCCAGGCACCUAUCAUGGAGAGAAGCCAGGAGAGCCUUCCAGACUCAACCUUACAUCCUUCAGCAGGGUUACCCAAAUAUGAAGGCUGCUGGAAGUUCGGUUUCUCCGGUUUCCCGCUGCACGGAGAUUGCUCCGUUCCAUCCAACCAUCCAGGAAGUGCCUUUGCAAGAGCGUCUAUUAAAAAAAAAAAAAA